UGUAAAUGAGGAGAACACCGGACGCGUUCACACUUGUUCAAUUUUGGAACAUUGCGCGUUUAUAUUUUUAAUGCCUGUGUUCAGAAAAGGAGUUCUAUUUACGAGUUGAACACUUAUCAUUUGAACGUCAGUGUUCAAUGGUAGUCCUUCUGACUAGACAACAUGAAAGAAUUUGAGUUUUUGACUACUUGGGUAAGUUUUUUGGUCAAUAUAUUGUCAGUUGGGGUUACAUUUACGCAAUUUAACAAGUAAUGGUGCUUUAAUAAUUAAAACAUUUUAAAAUGGAACAUGAUAUGAACAGUAGCGUUCAUCGAAUGUUCUAAUUGAGAACGUUUCUAAAAAUACAUUUGUGACAAUUUCUGACGUCAUUCAAGUACCACCACCACAACAACAACAACAACAACAACAACAAGUAAGCGUUGGCGAAACGCAAGCUGAACACUUUACAGUAACAAUGACUAAAAUUGAGAAAAAAACGGAUAGCGAGUAAGUAGUGUUGUUUCAAGCAGUGAUGAAAGAUUUGAACUAUAGACUGUAGAUCUACAGAAACUGUUCCAGACUUCCAUACAGAUCUUUGAGGAUAGUGAAGAAUAUGAUUUUCCUGCUAAAUUGGAGACAAAUGAAAACACCCCGCACAAACUGAUGACAUACACUACAGAGGGGAGCAACUGUCCUUUUGCGUUUCGACAUAGAAUAUUGAUUAUUGUUUAUGUACUCUCGCAGCAGUUUGUAUUUGCGAAGAAAUCUAGGAACUUAUCCUUAAUUCUUGUGUUAAUAUGUUAAGAAGACUGCAUUCAUGCACACAAGAAUAUAACACAUAAAAAUACAACAUGUAAUAACAAUAAGUGAAACAAUACUAGGAUAUUGAGAGACAGGUUAUGUUGCUGUGUGAUUACUCGUAUUUUUGUGGUAUAAAAUGAAACGCAAGAUUCAUGUUAUCAUGUACAAACAAAUUACUGAAAGAACUUUGUAAAACAGUAUUUAAUUUUUUACAUUUUGAUCAUAAUUGUUAAUCUUAAAAUCUUUUCAUUUUUUACUUUAUAACUGCUUAUCAGGCUUAGAGUUACAAAAUAAUAAGAAAUUUGGAUAACA